rnacentral:lncRNA from 1 species
GCUCACCCUAUGCUGAGCUCACCGGAAAAUAAUUGAUCUAUAUUAUGUAUAUAUUGUAAUUAUGGACAUUGAAGGCCCUUUUGAUUUGAUUAUUUGUAAUGAAAGAAAGAAAAAGUCCAAGGUAUGUAAUUGGUAGACUCUUGGGAUGGAUUUUGGGUUGGCCCAACUUAUUAAAAAGUAAAUGGGCCACAGCCCACAGUCCAUAACCUGUUAAAAAUAAAAUAAAUUCUUGUGUGGACUGCUUCUAAAAAGGAUUAAUUCUGUUAAUUAACUGUACUUUAAAUUAGUUCAACAAUCCAUUCUGUUAACACUCAUUUUACAUUUCUCAACAAACACUCAAUUUGUUCAACAACUCACUCACUUGGUAGUUGUUGUUUGUUCUUUACAAGUGUAUAUAAACAAUCCUUCUUCUGGUGAUUUUGAACACAUUGAUUUAUUUCCAUUCAAUGGCAGCUUCAUCCACCUCUACCUAUCUCCUCCUCUAAAUCCACCACUGUUGAUCAUUAACAGUAAAAAUAUCUCGGCUUAAACCCUUAUGUGGUCCGACGAGAUUAUGGUUUCAAGGUAUAUCGUCUAUGAACUCUAAAUAUUUUUUCUUUUUCCGGUGAUCCGGGCUGUUUUAUUUUCACUGUGUUGUGCUGUUCUAACAAUGGUUUUCUUCUUUCCAUUGUCCAUUCCUGCUAGUUGCCUAGCUGCAUUUUCUUUAUUUCUCGUCUUUUUAGUUUUCGUUGGUGAAAUAGAUUUUCCCUUUUUAUUGCCAGUUCUUGAUCAUUAUCAGAUCUCUUUUUUUAUAAUCAGAAUCAGAUUUUUUAUAAUUUUACAAUUUGCUUUUUGUUGUUAUUUAUCACUGGUGAAUUUUCUUUUCUAACAAGUAACAAUAGAUUUCUAGUGACUAUAUUUACUAAUGUUCACUUUCUGAAGCAUCAGCAGAUGAUUUAUGAAUUUAUGAAUUUUCUCUUUUGAUCAAAUUAUUGAUUUUAUCUAUUACUGAUUUCUCUUUUGAUCAAAAUUAAAAGUUGAUUUUUUUUAUAUCAAAAUGAUCUCUUGGAGUUAUUCCUGUUUUAAUAAUAUAGGAUUUAGGGUUUUAGUCUUAUUAUUGUGUUCAAUAUUGAUUAUUAAACUUCCUGUUGUGAUGUACAGAUUGAUUCUGUUUAAUGCAUCACUUUGUUGAUAUUUUAUGAAAACAUUAAAUGUCAAUGUCUUUAAAAAAGGUAAAUAUUUAUUUUUACAAAUACUAUUUAUAAUCGUUCAAUACAACCCGAGAUUGAAAAAAGGUAAUGUUAAUGGGAUCGUUCAACCAAUAGUUUAUUUUCGUAACCAAGAGCUUGAGACCAUGAAAUAACAUGGGAUGGAAAUGUGUUGCGAGAAUGAUGAUGAUCAAACCAAUAGCUGAUUUUUGAUUUCCUUGAUCAGGUUAUCCCUCUCCACUCUACCAGUACUUGCUUAGUUUUCCUGCCUCUGCGUGUGAUGAGUCUGUAUCCCACUAUUGACCUCGGAACUAUUACAGGGUGUGAUUCCCAUGUCGUAGGUGGUAAUUCUACUUUUCGUUCGUCUGUUACUGUUCCCACUACCGGCUUCAGUAAGGAUAUGUGAAACACUGGAAAGAUGCUGCUUCCGGUCGGAAGUUCUAAG